rnacentral:rRNA from 1 species
UACGAAGGGGGCUAGCGUUGCUCGGAAUCACUGGGCGUAAAGCGCACGUAGGCGGAUUGUUAAGUCGGGGGUGAAAUCCUGGAGCUCAACUCCAGAACUGCCUUCGAUACUGGCGAUCUUGAGUCCGGGAGAGGUGAGUGGAACUCCGAGUGUAGAGGUGAAAUUCGUAGAUAUUCGGAAGAACACCCGUGGCGAAGGCGGCUCUCUGGGACGGUACUGACGCUGAGACGCGAAAGCGUGGGGAGCGAACAGG